UACGUAGGGUGCAAGCGUUGUCCGGAAUUAUUGGGCGUAAAGAGCUCGUAGGCGGUCUGUCGCGUCUGCUGUGAAAACUCGAGGCUCAACCUCGGGCUUGCAGUGGGUACGGGCUGACUAGAGUGCGGUAGGGGAGACCGGAAUUCCUGGUGUAGCGGUGAAAUGCGCAGAUAUCAGGAGGAACACCGAUGGCGAAGGCAGGUCUCUGGGCCGUAACUGACGCUGAGGAGCGAAAGCAUGGGGAGCAAACAGG
rnacentral:misc_RNA from 1 species